rnacentral:rRNA from 1 species
UUAAAUACCGACCUGCAUGAAUGGCGUAACGAGAUGGGAGCUGUCUCAAAGAGGGAUCCAGUGAAAUUGUAGUGGAGGUGAAAAUUCCUCCUACCCGCGGCAAGACGGAAAGACCCCGUGGACCUUUACUACAGCUUGACACUGCUAUUUGGAUAAGAAUGUGCAGGAUAGGUGGGAGGCUUUGAGUAUAUGACGCCAGUUGUAUAUGAGCCAUUGUUGAGAUACCACUCUUUCUUAUUUGGGUAGCUAACCAGCUUGAGUUAUCCUCAAGUGGGACAAUGUCUGGUGGGUAGUUUGACUGGGGCGGUCGCCUCCCAAAUAAUAACGGAGGCUUACAAAGGUUGGCUCAGAACGGUUGGAAAUCGUUCGUAGAGUAUAAAGGUAUAAGCCAGCUUAACUGCAAGACAUACAAGUCAAGCAGAGACGAAAGUCGGUCUUAGUGAUCCGGUGGUUCUGUGUGGAAGGGCCAUCGCUCAAAGGAUAAAAGGUACCCCGGGGAUAACAGGCUGAUCUCCCCCAAGAGCUCACAUCGACGGGGAGGUUUGGCACCUCGAUGUCGGCUCAUCGCAUCCUGGGGCUGGAGCAGGUCCCAAGGGUAUGGCUGUUCGCCAUU